rnacentral:rRNA from 1 species
AGAGGAAGUAAAAGUCGUAACAAGGUUUCCGUAGGUGAACCGCGGAAGGAUCAUUAUCGUACCACCGAGGUGCAAGGGCUGUCGCUGACCUUUGAAGGUCGUGCACGCCCGAGCGCUCUCGCCACAAUCCAUCUCACCCCUUUGUGCAUCACCGCGUGGGUCCCCCUUUGCGGGGAGGGCUCGCGUUUUCACACAAAACUUGAUACAGUCUAGAAUGUUUAUUUUUGCGGUAACACGCAAUCAAUACAACUUUCAACAACGGAUCUCUUGGCUCUCGCAUCGAUGAAGAACGCAGCGAAAUGCGAUACGUAAUGUGAAUUGCAGAAUUCAGUGAAUCAUCGAAUCUUUGAACGCACCUUGCGCCCCUUGGCAUUCCGAGGGGCACACCCGUUUGAGUGUCGUGAAAUUCUCAAAAUCCUUUUCUUUGAUCGGAAUAGGACUUUUGGACUUGGAGGUUCAAUGCUCGCUUUUGCCUUUGAAAGCGAGCUCCUCUCAAAUGAAUCAGUGGGGUCCGCUUUGCUGGUCCUUGACGUGAUAAGAUGCUUCUACGUUUUGGAUUUGGCAUUGUUUUCUCCGCUCCUAACUGUCCCAUGGGACAACGAUGGUGCUUCGGUCGUCGCCAUCUAUGGCGGGAGGCUGAACCCACAAAGAACCUUGACCUCAAAUCGGGUGAGACUNCCCGCUGAACUUAAGCAUAUCAAUAAGCGGA